rnacentral:rRNA from 1 species
ACCUGGUUGAUCCUGCCAGUAGUCAUAUGCUUGUCUCAAAGAUUAAGCCAUGCAUGUCUAAGUAUAAGCAACUUGUACAGUGAAACUGCGAAUGGCUCAUUAAAUCAGUUAUCGUUUAUUUGAUAAUCCCUUACUACAUGGAUACCUGUGGUAAUUCUAGAGCUAAUACAUGC